rnacentral:rRNA from 1 species
UGGAAUCCGGGUUCCCUGUAGUCCACGCGGUAAACGAUGAAUACUAGGUGUGGGGAAGAGAAACCUCGGGUGCGCAGCAAACGCAAUAAGUAUUCCACUGGGGGAGUACGUUCGCAAGAAUGAAACUCAAAGGAAUUGACGGGGACCCGCACAAGCGGUGGAGCAUGUGGUUUAUUCGAAGCAACGCGAAGAACCUUACCAAGUCUUGACAUCCCGAUGAAUAGUAGGGAAAUCUAUUAGCCCUUCGGGGCAUCGGAGACAGGUGGUGCAUGGUUGUCGUCAGCUCGUGUCGUGAGAUGUUGGGUUAAGUCCCGCAACGAGCGCAACCCUUAUAUUUAGUAGCCAGCAGGUGAAGCUGGGAACUCUAGAUAGACUGCCAAGGAUAACUUGGAGGAAGGCAGGGACGACGUCAAAUCAUCAUGCCCCUUAUGAUUUGGGCUACACACGUGCUACAAUGGCGGAAACAAAGGGAAGCGAAGCCGCGAGGUGAAGCAAAACUCAGAAAUACCGUCUCAGUUCGGAUUGUAGGCUGCAACUCGCCUACAUGAAGCUGGAAUCGCUAGUAAUCGCAGAUCAGAACGCUGCGGUGAAUACGUUCCCGGGUCUUGUACACACCGCCCGUCACACCAUGGGAGUUGGAAAUGCCCGAAGUCGGUGACCCAACCUGAAAAGGAGGGAGCUGCCGAAGGUGGAGCCAGUAACUGGGGUGAAGUCGUAACAAGG